CCAAUAUGAAAGCGGGUGGGGAACCACAGAAACAUGGGCUCCGGCUUGCGUUUUUGCCCUAUCCUGCUGAAUAUUCACCCAUGUCUUUUGCGUACUACUUGUUUCCUUGGUGGGCUUGCCCACCAAUAGGACAACACUAAACCUUUUGUAAUUGCAAUCAGCGUCAGAAAAACUUAAUAGUUA
rnacentral:misc_RNA from 1 species